ACGGGUGAGUAACACGUAAGGAACCUGCCUCAAGGAUUGGGAUAACUCCGAGAAAUCGGAGCUAAUACCGGAUAGUUCAUCGGACCGCAUGGUCCGUUGAUGAAAGGCGCUUCGGCGUCACCUUGAGAUGGCCUUGCGGUGCAUUAGCUAGUUGGUGGGGUAACGGCCCACCAAGGCGACGAUGCAUAGCCGACCUGAGAGGGUGAUCGGCCACACUGGGACUGAGACACGGCCCAGACUCCUACGGGAGGCAGCAGUAGGGAAUCUUCCACAAUGGACGAAAGUCUGAUGGAGCAACGCCGCGUGAGUGAUGAAGGUUUUCGGAUCGUAAAACUUUGUUGUAAGGGAAGAACACGUACGAGAGGAAAUGCUCGUACCUUGACGGUACCUUACGAGAAAGCCACGGCUAACUACGUGCCAGCAGCCGCGGUAAUACGUAGGUGGCAAGCGUUGUCCGGAAUUAUUGGGCGUAAAGCGCGCGCAGGCGGCCUUUUAAGUCUGAUGUGAAAGCCCCCGGCUCAACCGGGGAGGGCCAUUGGAAACUGGAAGGCUUGAGUACAGAAGAGA
rnacentral:rRNA from 1 species